UACGUAGGGGGCGAGCGUUGUCCGGAAUCAUUGGGCGUAAAGAGCGUGUAGGCGGCUUGGCAAGUCUUGCGUGAAAUCCUGCGGCUCAACCGCAGGCGGUCGCAGGAAACUGCCUCGCUAGAGUCCGGAAGAGGAGAGCGGAAUUCCUGGUGUAGCGGUGGAAUGCGUAGAUAUCGGGAGGAACACCUGUGGCGAAAGCGGCUCACUGGACCACAACUGACGCUGAGGCGCGAAAGCUAGGGGAGCAAACAGG
rnacentral:rRNA from 1 species